rnacentral:rRNA from 1 species
CACAGGCAAGCCGAACGAGAGAAGAGGAGCUUGCUUUUCUGAUCUAGUGGCGGACGGGUGAGUAACACGUGAGCAAUCUGCCUUUCAGAGGGGGAUACCGAUUGGAAACGAUCGUUAAUACCGCAUAAUAUAAUUGAACCGCAUGAUUUGAUUAUCAAAGAUUUAUCGCUGAAAGAUGAGCUCGCGUCUGAUUAGCUAGUUGGUAAGGUAACGGCUUACCAAGGCGACGAUCAGUAGCCGGACUGAGAGGUUGAUCGGCCACAUUGGGACUGAGACACGGCCCAGACUCCUACGGGAGGCAGCAGUGGGGAAUAUUGCACAAUGGAGGAAACUCUGAUGCAGCGAUGCCGCGUGAGGGAAGAAGGUUUUAGGAUUGUAAACCUCUGUCUUCAGGGACGAAAAAAGACGGUACCUGAGGAGGAAGCUCCGGCUAACUACGUGCCAGCAGCCGCGGUAAUACGUAGGGAGCGAGCGUUGUCCGGAAUUACUGGGUGUAAAGGGAGCGUAGGCGGGAUCGCAAGUCAGAUGUGAAAACUAUGGGCUUAACCCAUAAACUGCAUUUGAAACUGUGGUUCUUGAGUGAAGUAGAGGUAAGCGGAAUUCCUAGUGUAGCGGUGAAAUGCGUAGAUAUUAGGAGGAACAUCAGUGGCGAAGGCGGCUUACUGGGCUUUAACUGACGCUGAGGCUCGAAAGCGUGGGGAGCAAACAGGAUUAGAUACCCUGGUAGUCCACGCCGUAAACGAUGAUUACCAGGUGUGGGGGGACUGACGCCUUCCGUGCCGCAGCAAACGCAAUAGGUAAUCCACCUGGGGAGUACGACCGCAAGGUUGAAACUCAAAGGAAUUGACGGGGGCCCGCACAAGCAGUGGAGUAUGUGGAUUAAUUCGAAGCAACGCGAAGAACCUUACCAGGUCUUGACAUCGUAUGCAUAGCUCAGAGAUGAGUGAAAUCUCUUCGGAGACAUAUAGACAGGUGGUGCAUGGUUGUCGUCAGCUCGUGUCGUGAGAUGUUGGGUUAAGUCCCGCAACGAGCGCAACCCUUACUGUUAGUUGCUACGCAAGAGCACUCUAGCAGGACUGCCGUUGACAAAACGGAGGAAGGUGGGGAUGACGUCAAAUCAUCAUGCCCCUUAUGACCUGGGCCUCACACGUACUACAAUGGCUGUCAACAGAGGGAAGCAAAGCCGCGAGGUGGAGCGAACCCCUAAAAGCAGUCUUAGUUCGGAUUGUAGGCUGCAACCCGCCUACAUGAAGUCGGAAUUGCUAGUAAUCGCAGAUCAGCAUGCUGCGGUGAAU